GUGCUCACUUUGAUGGUACAUAUACUAAAAUUGGGACUAUGCAGAGAUUAGCGUGCUCCCUGCACAAAGAUGCCAUGCAGAUUUGUGAAGCAUUUUGCAUUUUU